rnacentral:tRNA from 1 species
GCUGGAGUAGCUCAGAUGGUUAGAGCGUAUGGUUGUUAACCGUAGGGCUGAAGAUGCAAACUCUUGCUCCAGCG